rnacentral:lncRNA from 1 species
GUGCGCAGUUCCCGUGCCCUAGGAGUUGGCGGCGGGGCCCAGCCGAGGUAUAAGUUCCACAGCUUCACCCUUGUCGGUGUGAUAUGGGCGUGAAAGAAGACAUAAAACAGGCUUCCCGAGUAGAACCUGCCACCCCGGGCUGGUGGGGACGCGGCACCAGGCCGGGCCGGGGGAAGCCGCUCGGACAGUGGUCCUUGGAAUCUUCUUCCCUUCUGGUCUGACUAGGAAAGCCAGAGGGAGAUGGUGAAGGAGACACAGAGAGAGUAAAAGAACAGACCAUGCCCAGCCUCUCCACUGCAGGAGCUUGGAAUCAGUGAAGCAGAGUUGCCAGCCAUCUAUGGAUCCUAACUAAAUUGGUCCUUGUAAUACUCGGUAUUAUUUGCCAAGAUAUUGAAAAACCUCUAAACAGUGAGAAGAUAGACUACUGACUACCCUAUCCUGUAGCCAGACUGCUGAGCUUGGUUCCCAAAUACUACAUUAACUAGUUCCUCAUCUGUACAAUGAGACUAAUACCUUCUCAGUUAUAUUUUGGUGAAGAUCCAGACAUUGAUUUUUAGUGAGGAUCAGCUGAUGAGACUGAGGGAUUGGAGACAAAGGCGCUAGAAUGCUGGAGAAGCACUUUUGCAGAAAUGCUGGUGAGAAGCACCAAAUGCUACCCUCCCGUCUCCCCAGCUGCUUUCAUUUCUCUGGAGCUGAAACAAAGUUCACAGCAGAGACCACAAGGGAAGAUGGACAGCCACUUGGGGACCACCUGUUACAGAUAAAGAUGCUUUGGUCUGGAAAGAGU